GAUCAGUAUCCUGAGAAGAAGGAUGUGUAACACUGCCCUCCCUGUCUCUGCCUGGAGCACCACCCUGCUCUCUUGGGUUGCUGUCUCUCUCCUGGGAACAAGUUCAACAAAUUCUGGGGUUGUCCAGUCUCCAAGACACAUAAUCAAAGAAAAGGGAGGAAGGUCUAUUCUGAAAUGUAUUCCCAUCUCUGGACAUCUCAGUGUGGCCUGGUACCAACAGACUCAGGGGCAGGAACUAAAGUUCCUUAUUCACCAUUAUGAUAAAAUGGAGAGAGAUAAAGGAAAGCUGCCCAGCAGAUUCUCAGUCCAGCAGUUCAGUGACUAUCACUCUGAGAUGAACAUGAGUGCCUUGGAGCUGGAUGACUCUGCAGUAUAUUUCUGUGCCAGUUCUCUCCACAGCCUUACAAAGCUACUGGCUUUCUGUAACUUAAUCUUUCUGUUCCACCUGGUGAUAUACUAGAGAGGGGUUGGAUGAUGCCACAAAACCAUAGCCAAAGAUCAGAAAUGCUUCUAUCUUGUUACUAAUCCUCUGACUGCCUAGCUGAGCACACACAGACCAAUACCACACAUUGGGAUGGGCCAACGCCCUCCAGCUAUUCUCAGAUCUCUGCUAAUACCUU